CCUACGGGAGGCAGCAGUGAGGAAUAUUGGUCAAUGGGCGCAAGUCUGAACCAGCCAAGUAGCGUGAAGGAUGACGGCCCUACGGGUUGUAAACUUCUUUUAUAAAGGAAUAAAGUGAGGCUCGUGUGCCUCCUUGUAUGUACUUUAUGAAUAAGGAUCGGCUAACUCCGCGCCAGCAGCCGCGGUAAUACGGAGGAUGCGAGCGUUAUCCGGAUUUAUUGGGUUUAAAGGGAGCGUAGAUGGGUUGUUAAGUCAGUUGUGAAAGUUUGCGGCUCAACCGUAAAAUUGCAAUUGAUACUGGCGGCCUUGAGUACAGUUGAGGUAGGCGGAAUUCGUGGUGUAGCGGUGAAAUGCUUAGAUAUCACGAAGAACUCCGAUUGCGAAGGCAGCUGACUAAACUGCCACUGACAUUGAGGCUCGAAAGUGUGGGUAUCAAACAGGAUUAGAUACCCCAGUAGUC
rnacentral:rRNA from 1 species